rnacentral:rRNA from 1 species
UACGAGGGGGGCGAGCGUUGUUCGGAAUUAUUGGGCGUAAAGGGCGCGUAGGCGGUUGGGUAAGUCUUGUGUGAAAUCUUCGGGCUCAACUCGAAGUCUGCACGAGAAACUAUCUGGCUUGAGUGUGGGAGAGGUGAGUGGAAUUCCUGGUGUAGCGGUGAAAUGCGUAGAUAUGCGGAGGAACACCGAUGGCGAAGGCAAUCCCCUGGGCCUGCACUGACGCUCAUGCACGAAAGCGUGGGGAGCAAACAGG